rnacentral:tRNA from 1 species
GCCGGCGUAGCUCAGUUGGUAGAGCAACUGAUUCGUAAUCAGUAGGUCAGGUGUUCGAUUCACCUCGCCGGCACCA